ACUUACUCUUCGGAGUGAGAGCGUACACAGGUGCUGCAUGGCUGUCGUCAGCUCGUGUCGUGAGAUGUUGGGUUAAAUCCCGCAACGAGCGCAACCCCUGCAUUCAGUUGCCAUCGGUAAGGCCGGGCACUCUGGAUGGACUGCCGGCGACAAGCCGGAGGAAGGUGGGGACGACGUCAAGUCAUCAUGGCCCUUAUGUCCAGGGCGACACACGUGCUACAAUGGCCGGCACAACGGGAAGCGAAGGGGCGACCCUGAGCGGAUCCCACAAAAGCCGGUCUCAGUUCGGAUUGCAGUCUGCAACUCGACUGCAUGAAGUUGGAAUCGCUAGUAAUCGUGGAUCAGCCAAGCCGCGGUGAAUACGUUCCCGGGCCUU
rnacentral:rRNA from 1 species